rnacentral:tRNA from 1 species
GAGGGUAUAGCUCAGUGGUAGAGCACAUGCUUAGCAUGCACGAGGUCCUGGGUUCAAUCUCCAUUAUCUCCA